rnacentral:lncRNA from 1 species
GUGCUUAUUUUUUUAGAUUUAUUUUAAGAAGUAAUAGCAUUAUUUAUUUUGUAGUUGGUAACGUGUUUCUUAUACCAACAAAGUACCUAAGGUGACUUUGUUAAUUGUUUCUGCGUCAACUGCGUCGUGUCAUUAAAAAAACAUUGUGAAGCCAUCCGUGAACGUAUUAUAAUCUCCUUUUCUAGUACACUCAUAUGGUUCAUGAAUUUUCUGCCAUGUAAGCCAAGUUGUACAAAUUGAAUUUCAAAUAGGUUAAAUUAAUGAACUAUUGACACUUUUUGUGGCUUUUGUUUUUUAUUUUUUAAAAAUGGCUUCUCCAUUUAACGGUUAACAUAUAUAGUUUAUUCCCACAAGGUUAUGGGUAGCAUUAGUAUCUACUACUAGAAGAUACUCCACAGGUUGUUGUGGGAAUUAUGAAGAAUUUGGAAUGAAAUUAAGUGAAGAUGAUCUGGAUAUCUUGCAAUUAAGAGAUUAAAAAUUACUCACUAAGAUGACAUGGCUAUUAGGCCACUCUAAGUGAGAAGUUUAAAAAAAUGCAACUGCACUAUCAAAAUAAGUUUUAUUGGGAAUUUUAUAAAAAAAACAUUUCAUUGAUGUAGAUUGUACUGAAUUUUCCUAUAAAUUUGAUCAAAUUGAAAAGACUUUACUUGGAACAAAGUCAAAAUGAACUAUAAUUUGGAAC